UACGUAGGGGGCAAGCGUUGUCCGGAAUCAUUGGGCGUAAAGCGCGUGUAGGCGGCCCGAUAAGUCCGCUGUGAAAGUCCAGGGCUCAACCCUGGGAUGCCGGUGGAUACUGUCGGGCUCGAGUCCGGAAGAGGAGUGUGGAAUUCCUGGUGUAGCGGUGAAAUGCGCAGAUAUCAGGAGGAACACCAAUGGCGAAGGCAGCACUCUGGGACGUGACUGACGCUGAGACGCGAAAGCGAGGGGAGCAAACAGG
rnacentral:rRNA from 1 species